rnacentral:rRNA from 1 species
AUUGAACGCUGGCGGCAGGCCUAACACAUGCAAGUCGAGCGGUUGAUGGAAGCUUGCUUCCUGAUUCAGCGGGGGACGGGUGAGUAAUGCCUAGGAAUCUGCCUGGUAGUGGGGGGCAACGUUUCGAAAGGAACGCUAAUACCGCAUACGUCCUACGGGAGAAAGCAGGGGACCUUCGGGCCUUGCGCUAUCAGAUGAGCCUAGGCCGGAUUAGCUAGUUGGUGAGGUAAUGGCUCACCAAGGCGAGAUCCGUAACUGGUCUGAGAGGAUGAUCAGUCACACUGGAACGAGACACGGUCCAGACUCCUACGGGAGG